rnacentral:rRNA from 1 species
GACGAACGCUGGCGGCGUGCUUAACACAUGCAAGUCGAGCGGUAAGGCCCUUUCGGGGGUACACGAGCGGCGAACGGGUGAGUAACACGUGGGUGACCUGCCCUCAGCUCUGGGAUAAGCCUGGGAAACCGGGUCUAAUACUGGAUAUGACUCCAUGACGCAUGUUGUGGGGUGGAAAGCCUUGUGCGGCUGAGGAUGGGCCCGCGGCCUAUCAGCUUGUUGGUGGGGUGANGGCCUACCAAGGCGACGACGGGUAGCCGGCCUGAGAGGGCGACCGGCCACACUGGGACUGAGACACGGCCCAGACUCCUACGGGAGGC